rnacentral:rRNA from 1 species
UACGUAGGUGGCAAGCGUUGUCCGGAUUUAUUGGGUUUAAAGGGUGCGUAGGCGGUCCUAUAAGUCAGUGGUGAAAUACUCUAGCUUAACUAGAGGGGUGCCAAUGAUACUGUAGGACUUGAGUACAGAUGAGGUAGGCGGAAUUGACGGUGUAGCGGUGAAAUGCAUAGAUAUCGUCAAGAACACCUAUAGCGAAGGCAGCUUACUGGGCUGUAACUGACGCUGAGGCACGAAAGUGUGGGGAUCAAACAGG